UCGUUUAUAAUAUGUCGUAGCCCCACGUGAGUGCUCCACUAACUAGUACUGUGUAUACUUAAGGAAAAUGGACCUUUUACAACCGGAUCACAAUCGGAGAACGUAUCAGCGUACCUCCCGAUAUGACUGGUCUUUUAUCGGAGUGGUUAACAUUCGAGUUAUCAUCUCAUAGCCACGUCUGUGGUGCGUGUUAUGACAAGAUAUCAAGAUGUCUUGCAACGAAUUCCAGUGAAAGACAACUCGGUCAUAUCAAUGUAUGGCUGUGGUAAAUCAGUUACACAUGCCAAAAGACACGAAAUUCUGGAGGGAAGCCCUCCGGCCUCAGUUGUAUCACUGUGGCAGUACUUACAUGAUGACAUGUUAGAGCAGCCAACUUUUUAUGUCAUGGUUGUUACAUGAGAGCUAACAGAGAAGUGAGCCGAAGAAUUAUUACUAAUUCCAACCGUUUUGACGCCUUAGAAGAUCACCAACCUGAUCAAAAUAUGCAAAUACCAAUUCCUCCACCACUUGCCCCACAACUUCAUCUUGGCCCAGGUCAAGAUGUUUCAUCAAUUGCCCUACCUAAUUAUAGAUGUUGUGCUAAUACAUCUAGGCGAUGCAUAUUUGAUGGUCAGCAAAGUGCAGGUUAUUUAGUGCCUACCUUAAUUAAAUCAGCCUUGCUGUUUUAUAAUAAGCUUUAUGCGCAUUCUAAUGAAUGGGAGUUAUUAUUGGAGAACUCAAGUUUAACAAAUACUUUCGCAGCACUUGAAAUUGAAGGAAAUCAUCCUCUUCUAUUAAGAGGACGUAUUAAAUCGAGACAUACGCCCAGGCGUGAAUAUCACACGUAUUUUUUAUAUGACGAGCUUCCCUCAUUUGAAGACCAA